AGCAUUGCCUAUUGCAAGGUAAAUGGUACAUCACGCAAAUGCGAGGCACCAGUGUUGUCACCCCCACCACCAGCGCGAGUAGCAUCUACAGGAACACCACAAGAUAGCAACAAUAAAUCUUAUUCAAACAGAAGUAAACCACUUCAUUGGUUGAUUUGCACAAUUUUUGCCGCGAUUCUUCUUAUCCACGUAUAAUUCUGCAUUCUCCAAAGUCUCUACUCAAAUUUUCAGACCAGACACACACUUCAUAACACGGGAGCAGAAUGACACGAUCCUCCUUAUCUUUUAUUUAUUUUUUAUUUAUCUUGUGUUUACUGGUUGAGUUUCUUCACUUAUCG
rnacentral:misc_RNA from 1 species